rnacentral:rRNA from 1 species
CCUACGGGUGGCAGCAGUCGAGAAUCAUUCACAAUGGGGGAAACCCUGAUGGUGCGACGCCGCGUGGGGGAAUGAAGGUCUUCGGAUUGUAAACCCCUGUCAUGUGGGAGCAAAUUAAAAAGAUAGUACCACAAGAGGAAGAGACGGCUAACUCUGUGCCAGCAGCCGCGGUAAUACAGCGGUCUCAAGCGUUGUUCGGCAUCACUGGGCGUAAAGCGUGCGUAGGCUGUUUCGUAAGUCGUGUGUGAAAGGCGCGGGCUCAACCCGCGGACGGCACAUGAUACUGCGAGACUAGAGUAAGGGAGGGGGAACCGGAAUUGGCGGUGUAGCAGUGAAAUGCGUAGAUAUCGAGAGGAACACUGGUGGCGAAGGCGGGUUCCUGGACAUUAACUGACGCUGAGGCACGAAGGCCAGGGGAGCGAAAGGGAUUAGAUACCCCGGUAGUC